rnacentral:rRNA from 1 species
GCUAAUACCGCAUACGCCCUACGGGGGAAAGCAGGGGACCUUCGGGCCUUGCGCGAUUGGAUAAGCCCAAGUGAGAUUAGCUAGUUGGUGAGGUAAUAGCUCACCAAGGCGACGAUCUCUAGCUGGUCUGAGAGGAUGAUCAGCCACACUGGAACUGAGACACGGUCCAGACUCCUACGGGAGGCAGCAGUGGGGAAUAUUGCACAAUGGGCGAAAGCCUGAUGCAGCCAUGCCGUGUGUAUGAAGAAGGCCUUCGGGUUGUAAAGUACUUUCAGCAGUGAGGAAGAGGUGUAGAUUAAUACUCUACAUCUUUGACGUUAGCUGCAGAAGAAGCACCGGCUAACUCCGUGCCAGCAGCCGCGGUAAUACGGAGGGUGCGAGCGUUAAUCGGAAUUACUGGGCGUAAAGCGCAUGCAGGUGGUUUGUUAAGUCAGAUGUGAAAGCCCGGGGCUCAACCUCGGAAUAGCAUUUGAAACUGGCAUACUAGAGUACUGUAGAGGGGGGUAGAAUUUCAGGUGUAGCGGUGAAAUGCGUAGAGAUCUGAAGGAAUACCAGUGGCGAAGGCGGCCCCCUGGA